UUGGAGGGCAAGUCUGGUGCCAGCAGCCGCGGUAAUUCCAGCUCCAAUAGCGUAUAUUAAAGUUGUUGCAGUUAAAAAGCUCGUAGUUGAAUUUCGGGGUUCUACCGUUGGUCGGGCUUUGUCUGUACUGGUGUGUAGAAUUUCUACCUUCUGGGGAACCAUCAUGCUAUUAAUUUAGCGUGGUGGGAAACCAGGACCUUUACCUUGAAAAAAUUAGUGUGUUCAAAGCAGGCUUAUGUCUGAAUACAUUAGCGUGGAAUAAUAGAAUAGGACGGUGGUCCUGCUUUGUUGGUUUCUGAAUCACCGUAAUGAUUAAUAGGGAUAGUUGGGGGCAUUAGUAUUCAAUUGUCAGAGGUGAAAUUCUUGGAUUUAUUGAAGACUAACUUCUGCGAAAGCAUUUGCCAAGGAUGUUUUCAUUAAUCAAGAACGAAAGUUAGGGGAUCGAAGACGAUCAGAUACCGUCGUAGUCUUAACCAUAAACUAUGCCGACUAGGGAUCGGACGAUGUUAAUUUUUCUUGACUCGUUCGGCGCCUUACGGGAAAC
rnacentral:rRNA from 1 species